AUACGUAGGGGGCGAGCGUUGUCCGGAAUUAUUGGGCGUAAAGGGUUCGCAGGCGGUCUGAUAAGUCAGAUGUGAAAGGCAAUGGCUCAACCAUUGUAAGCAUUUGAAACUGUCAGACUUGAGUUAAGGAGAGGAAAGUGGAAUUCCUAGUGAAGCGGUGAAAUGCGUAGAUAUUAGGAGGAAAACCAGUGGCGAAGGCGACUUUCUGGACUUAUACUGACGCUGAGGAACGAAAGCGUGGGGAGCAAACAGGAUUAGAUACCCUGGUAGUCCACGCCGUAAACGAUGAGUGCUAGGUGUUGGGGGUCAAACCUCGGUGCCGCAGCUAACGCAUUAAGCACUCCGCCUGGGGAGUACGUACGCAAGUAUGAAACUCAAAGGAAUUGACGGGG
rnacentral:rRNA from 1 species